UACGUAGGGGGCAAGCGUUGUCCGGAAUCAUUGGGCGUAAAGCGCGCGUAGGCGGCCCGGUAAGUCCGCUGUAAAAGUCCAGGGCUCAACCCUGGAAAGCCGGUGGAUACUGUCGGGCUAGAGUCCGGAAGAGGCGAGUGGAAUUCUCGGUGUAGCGGUGAAAUGCGUAGAUAUCGAGAGGAACACCUGCGGCGAAGGCGGGUUGCUGGGCCGACACUGACGCUGAUGCGCGAAAGCCAGGGGAGCGAACGGG
rnacentral:rRNA from 1 species